rnacentral:rRNA from 1 species
UACAGAGGUCUCAAGCGUUGUUCGGAUUCAUUGGGCGUAAAGGGUGCGUAGGCGGCGCGGUAAGUCGGGUGUGAAAUCUCGGAGCUUAACUCCGAAACUGCAUUCGAUACUGCCGUGCUUGAGGACUGGAGAGGAGACUGGAAUUUACGGUGUAGCGGUGGAAUGCGUAGAGAUCCGGAAGAACACCAGUGGCGAAGGCGGAUCUGCUGGGCAGUGGGAGCUUCGGGCUCUCUUUAGCCGACACUGAGGCGCGACAGCGUGGGGAGCAAACAGGG